GACGAACGCUGGCGGCGUGCUUAACACAUGCAAGUCGAACGGAAAGGCCCUGCUUUUGUGGGGUGCUCGAGUGGCGAACGGGUGAGUAACACGUGAGUAACCUGCCCUUGACUUUGGGAUAACUUCAGGAAACUGGGGCUAAUACCGGAUAGGAGCUCCUGCUGCAUGGUGGGGGUUGGAAAGUUUCGGCGGUUGGGGAUGGACUCGCGGCUUAUCAGCUUGUUGGUGGGGUAGUGGCUUACCAAGGCCUUGUCGGGUAGCCGGCCUGGGAGGGUGACCGGCGACAUUGGGACUGAGAUACGGCCCAGACUCCUACGGGAGGCAGCAGUGGGGAAUAUUGCACAAUGGGCGGAAGCCUGAUGCAGCAACGCCGCGUGCGGGAUGACGGCCUUCGGGUUGUAAACCGCUUUCGCCUGUGACGAAGCGUGAGUGACGGUAAUGGGUAAAGAAGCACCGGCUAACUACGUG
rnacentral:rRNA from 1 species